CCCAGAGGUGGCAGAUGACAUGAAGAAAUAACCAUGUAAGGGCUGGCUGUGUAUGAGAGCAAGCAUUGGGAAGGAUGAAUGCCAACUAUGUUCCAGGAACUUCCACUGUUCUCACACACCCAGGUGAGUGGUGUUCAGGUGGGUGGCACCCAGGUGAGUGACAUCCCAGUUGAGUGGCACCCAGGUGAGUAGCAUCCAGGUGAGUGACACCUAGGUGAGUGACAUUCAGGUUAGUGGCGUCUGUGUGAGUGGCAUCAUCCAGGUGAGUAGCUUCCAGGUGAGUGGCACCCAGGUGAGUGGCAUUCGGGUGAGUGGCAUUAUCCAGGUGACACCUGGGUGAGUGGCAUCCAGGUGAGUGAUAUCAUCCAGGUAAGUGGCACCUAGGUGACAUCCAGGUGAGUGACGACAUCCAGGUGAGUGACAUCAUCCAGGUAAAUGGCACCCAGGUGAGUAGCAUUCAGGUGAGUGACACCCAGGCGAGUGGCAUCCACGUGACUAGCAUUGUCCAGGUGCAUAACACCCAGGUGAGUGGCACCCAGUUGAGUGGUGCCCAAGUGAGUCACAUCCAGGUAAGUGGGGUCCAGGUGGUGGCACCCAGGCGAGUGGUGCCCAGGUGAGUGACAGCCAGGUGAAUGGUGUCCAGGUGAGUGGCAUCACCCAGGUGAAUGGUGUCCAGGUGAGUGGCAUCCAGGUAAGUGGUGUCCAGGUGGUGGCACCCAGGUGAGUGGUGUCCAGGUGAGGGGCAUCACCCAGGUGAAUGGUGUCCAGGUGAGUGGCAUCCAGGUGGGUGGUACCGUCGACGUGACAAUAGCUAAAAAUUAUUGGGCUCAUUGUGGACAGGCACUGUGCCGAGCUUGACAUCACUGAACUCAGUUCAUCCUCGCCAGGAGCUUGUGGGCCGUCCCUAGAUCAGAAUCCGAGGAGAAAGGACUUCCACACGGCAGCCAGCGAGCUGGAGGGCGGCCUCCUGCCACCACCAGGCUCCCUAACCCAGUCCUGGAUAUCUGUGAAAGAAUGAGUGGAUCCCCACAGGCCAGCCCUGACUUCCCACAGCUAUCCCCAAACACACUCGUUUACACUGAAGCACCAGGAGAUCAGAACCUUCUGGAAUCUUAAUAUGCGAGGACUCGGUGGAGAAGGCGGCACUGAAGAAGAGUCGUCCCUAGGCCAGGCUGGAGGGAAACUCAAGACGGCGGCCUGGCCCUCCUGGGUGGCGGAAGUGGGAGCAGCAGGAGCCCUGGCGGAUCCGGGAGGCCAGAAGAGCGGAAGCUUCCUCCCCUCUCAGGACAGCCACAAGGACUUUCGGGGGUCGUGGCAGCUGCUCCACUUCCAACUUCCAGAUCCCUCUCACUUUCCUCUUCCCACCAACUCCAACCUGGGACCAAGCAGGGGAAAGCAGCUGCAGCCCAGCUUGACGCCCCUGCAAAUGGAGACCUGUGCACCUGGUUGUGAGCAUUUUAAAGGGUGUCACACAGGGCAUACCCUUCGGUGCCUGGAUUCCUUUGGUAAGUGUUAUAUUAGGGAGACGCACCCUUGCUGUUGUGUGUGGCAAGAUUUGUGCAUUCUCAUUUUUCCAUGAUAUUCCUCUGCAUACCUAUCCCAUAAUUCACUGAUCCAUCCUAGUGUUGAAAAGCAUUGAAGGAGUUUCUGGUCAUUGGCUGUUACAAACAGUGAUGCCCGAAUGCUCUGGUGAUGGUCCUUUUGUGGACGUGGACACAUUUUUCUUGCAAUUGUGCCUAAAUGUGGAAUCUCCAGGGGAAGACUGGGUGCAGAGUCUUAAUCUUGACUCCCGUUUGCUGAGGCUCUCAAUGUCUCAGGAAACCCUUAGAUAACCUCAUUUAAUCCUCACAACAACCCGGCAAGGUGGGCUAUGGACCCCCGGUUGAUGGAUGACGAACCCCCCCAUCCCCUGUCCCCCAGGUUUACAUCCAGCAGGAGUUGGCCCUGAGCUCUGAGUCCAGAUCAUUGCUCUUGGCUGAAGCAGCCUGUCUACUCACAAAGAUGAGCAUGGUCCCUGCCACGAGGAAACUCGUGGUCCUGUGGACUGCGGUGUGGAGGGAAAGCUUGGGAUUCUGAGCCUGAUAAUGCACCAUUACAUCCCCACUCACUCGGGCUGUGUGAACCCAGCAAGUCACAGGAUCACUGGGUGGUGAAAGAAAGAAACACUCACAGAAGCGUCUGUGCUUGGAGAGCCAUCUGGUCCGUCAUUGUGACUGCUGCUCUCAUUGCUAUCAUGGGUGUCACCAUUGCCAUCACUCAAGGACUUCUCUCCAGGCCCCGAAGCCAAGCUGGUGCCUGGUUCCUCUGGGUUGGGAGAGGGGCUGGGCAUGGACAGGAGGAGGGAAAAGGGACCUGUGCUAGCAGGUGAUGCCAUCCAAGACAUCUGCAUCCUAAUCCCUGGAACCUGGGAUUCCACUAGGUGCCAUGGCAAAGAGGGAUUAAGGUGGCAGGUGGAGUGAAGGUUGCUAAUCAGCCGACCUUAAAGUAGGGAGAUGAUCCUGAAUGAGACAAAAGAGAGAACCAGUCAUGGUGUCAUGAGAAGGACUCAAAAUGCAACUGCUGACUUUGAAGAUUAAGGGGCUACAAACCAAGGAACGUGGUAGUCUCUGGAAAAGACAAGGAAUAGACGCUGCGUUGGGGCCACCAGAAGGAACCAGCCCUGUCAACACCCUAAUUUUAGCCCAGUGAGGCCUGUGCUGGACUUCUGACCUCCAGAACUGUAAACUAAUAAAUGUGUGUUGUUUCUGCCACUAGAUUUGUGGGAAUUUGUUAGGGCAGGCAUAAGAAACUGAUACUGUGGUAUUCCCUGCUGUGUCCCCAGGACCUCGUGGCCAGUAGGCUCACAAAAAAUAUCUAUUUAAUGGACAAACAUCGUGAAGGAAAUGCUUUUCUGUGAGCCUACCGUGUGCCAGUUUUUUGACACUGUGUGAGUUGUCAGAUUCAGCAAAUAAAAAUACAGAAUGCCCAGGUAGAGUUGAAUUUUAGAUAAAC
rnacentral:lncRNA from 10 species